rnacentral:misc_RNA from 1 species
CGCGGAGCGGCGCAUUUUGUUUUGAUCCAAAAACCCUAAAAUUUCUAGUGAAUUGACAAAUUCUAUAAAAUUGUUUUAAAAUUGAGAUUGAAAUUAGAAUCAAAACAUCAAAAUUUGAAAUCAAAACAAAAAUAUCAAAAAAUUAAAUUGAAACCAUAACGAAAAUUUUUAGGUAAAUCUCAAAAUUACACAAAAUCUAUAGUUAAAGG